rnacentral:rRNA from 1 species
CCUUAUUAAGCACCAAGGAGCAGGUAUCAGGCACAACUGUUUGGCCCAAAACACCUUGCUACGCCACACCCACACGGGCACCCAGCAGUGAUAAAUAUUAAGCAAUGAGUGAAAGCCAACCUAAGCUCGACUUAGUUAUGAUCAUUAGGGCCGGUAAACCUCGUGCCAGCCACCGCGGUUAUACGAGGGGCCCAAAACAACAGAUAUCGGCGUAAAUUGUGGCUAGAGUACCUCUUACAACGCUGAAAGAUAAACGAAAGCCUAAUCGUAAAACCUAGGCCAAAAGAAACACAUACUUUCAGCUUUAAAACAACUUGAACCCACGAAGACUAAGAAACAAACUAGGAUUAGAUACCCUACUAUGCUUAGUUGUUAAUACGACACUAAAAAACACCACUGUCCGCCAGAGAAUUACACGCGAAAAGCUUAAAACUCAAAGGACUUGGCGGUGCUCCGUAUUCGUCUUAGAGGAGCCUGUCCUAUAAUCGAUAACCCACGCUUUACCUUACCAUCUUUUGCUAAACAGCCUAUAUACCGCCGUCACAAACUUACCCCAUGAGGGUACAAUAGUAAGUAAAAUAGCAACACACUAGCACGUCAGGUCAAGGUGUAGCUAAUAAGAUGGAAGAGAUGGGCUACAUUUUCUAAAACAGAACACAC